GAUGAACGCUGGCGGUCUGCUUAACACAUGCAAGUCGAACGGAAUCCUUCGGGAUUUAGUGGCGGACGGGUGAGUAACGCGUGAGAAUCUGCCUUCAGGUUCGGGACAACAGCUGGAAACGGCUGCUAAUACCGGAUGUGCCGAGAGGUGAAAGCUUUAGUGCCUGAAGAUGAGCUCGCGUCUGAUUAGCUAGUAGGAGUGGUAAUGGCACCCCUAGGCGACGAUCAGUAGCUGGUCUGAGAGGAUGAUCAGCCACACUGGGACUGAGACACGGCCCAGACUCCUACGGGAGGCAGCAGUGGGGAAUUUUCCGCAAUGGGCGCAAGCCUGACGGAGCAAGACCGCGUGAGGGAAGAAGGUCUGUGGAUUGUAAACCACUUUUGAUCGGGAAGAAGACAGUGACGGUACCCAUCGAAUCAGCCUCGGCUAACUCCGUGCCAGCAGCCGCCGUAA
rnacentral:rRNA from 1 species